rnacentral:rRNA from 1 species
UACGAAGGGGGGCUAGCGUUGUUCGGAAUUACUGGGCGUAAAGCGCACGUAGGCGGGUUGUUAAGUCAGGGGUGAAGUCCUGGAGCUCAACUCCAGAACUGCCUUUGAUACUGGCAACCUAGAGACUGGAAGAGGUUAGUGGAAUUCCCAGUGUAGAGGUGAAAUUCGUAGAUAUUGGGAAGAACACCAGUGGCGAAGGCGGCUAACUGGUCCAGCACUGACGCUGAGGUGCGAAAGCGUGGGGAGCAAACAGG